AUGCUUCCGUUGCUCAUCCCAGUACUGGGAAUGAUUUUUGCCCUGAGAGAUGCCGGUGCCCAGUCAGUGACCCAGCCUGACGGCCAUGUCACUGUCUCUGAAGAAUACUCCCUGGAGUUGAGAUGCAACUAUUCCUACGGUGGAGCUUUUUAUCUCUUCUGGUAUGUCCAGUACCCUGGCCAAGGCCUCCAGCUUCUCCUUCAGUACUACUCAGGGAACACCCUGGUUAAAGGCAUCAAAGGCUUUGAGGCUGAAGUCAGGAAGGACGAAUCUUCCUUCACCCUGAGGAAACCCCGUGUGCACUGGAGUGACACAGCUGAGUACUUCUGUGCUCUGAGUGCCACAGUGCCUGGGACUGCAGGGGGAGCUGAACACAAACUUUGUGAGAGAGAAUUCUAG